rnacentral:rRNA from 1 species
AGUGGCGCACGGGUGAGUAACGCGUGGAUAUCUGCCUUUUGGUUCGGAAUAACCCCGGGAAACUGGGGCUAAUACCGGAUGGUUCCUACGGGAUAAAGAUUUAUCGCCAAAAGAUGAGUCCGCGUACGAUUAGCUAGUUGGUGAGGUAAUGGCUCACCAAGGCGACGAUCGUUAGCUGGUCUGAGAGGACGAUCAGCCACACUGGGACUGAGACACGGCCCAGACUCCUACGGGAGGCAGCAGUGGGGAAUAUUGGACAAUGGGGGCAACCCUGAUCCAGCCAUGCCGCGUGAGUGAUGAAGGCCUUCGGGUUGUAAAGCUCUUUUGGCGGGGACGAUGAUGACGGUACCCGCAGAAUAAGCCCCGGCUAACUUCGUGCCAGCAGCCGCGGUAAGACGAAGGGGGCUAGCGUUGUUCGGAAUUACUGGGCGUAAAGCGAGUGUAGGCGGUUGUCCUAGUCAGGCGUGAAAGCCUUGAGCUCAACUCAAGAAAUGCGCUUGAUACUGGAUGACUAGAGGACCGGAGAGGAUAGUGGAAUUCCCAGUGUAGUGGUGAAAUACGUAGAGAUUGGGAAGAACACCAGUGGCGAAGGCGGCUAUCUGGACGGUUACUGACGC